rfam:Schistosoma rodhaini strain Burundi genome assembly, scaffold: SROB_scaffold0000723
AUCCAGCUGACGAGUCCCAAAUAGGACGAAACGCACAUCAAAUUGGAU